rnacentral:rRNA from 1 species
GACGAACGCUGGCGGCGUGCUUAACACAUGCAAGUCGAACGGAAAGGCCCUGCUUUUGUGGGGUGCUCGAGUGGCGAACGGGUGAGUAACACGUGAGUAACCUGCCCUUGACUUUGGGAUAACUUCAGGAAACUGGGGCUCAUACCGGAUAGGAGCUCCUGCUGCAUGGUGGGGGUUGGAAAGUUUCGGCGGUUGGGGAUGGACUCGCGGCUUAUCAGCUUGUUGGUGGGGUAGUGGCUUACCAAGGCUUUGACGGGUAGCCGGCCUGAGAGGGUGACCGGCCACAUUGGGACUGAGAUACGGCCCAGACUCCUACGGGAGGCAGAAGUGGGGAAUAUUGCACAAUGGGCGGAAGCCUGAUGCAGCAACGCCGCGUGCGGGAUGACGGCCUUCGGGUUGUAAACCGCUUUCGCCUGUGACGAAGCGUGAGUGGCGGUAAUGGGUAAAGAAGCACCGGCUAACUACGUG